CCAGGUUCACACGGCUGCAUUAGUGACUAGUGUGGUGCGGAGUGAAAUGUCACAUCAGGUGAAUAUUGUUAAAGUUUUAGACUGAGUGACCAGGUUCACACGGCUGCACUAGUGACUAGUGUGGUGCGGAGUGAAAUUGAAAUGUCACCUCAGGUGAAUAUUGUUAAAGUUUUAGACUGAGUGACCAGGUUCACACGACUGCACUAGUGACUAGUGUGGUGCAGAGUGAAACUGAAAUGGCACUUUAGGUGUAUAUUAUUAAUGUUUUAGACUGAGUGACCAGGUUCACACGGCUGCACUAGUGACUAGUGUGGUGCGGAGUGAAACGUCACCUCAGGUGAAUAUUGUUCAAGUUUUAGACUGAGUGACCAGGUUCACACGGCUGCACUAGUGACUAGUGUGGUGCGGAGUGAAACGUCACCUCAGGUGAAUAUUGUUAAAGUUUUAGACUGAGUGACCAGGUUCGCACGGCUGCACUAGUGACUAAUGUGGUACGGAGUGAAA